GCAGUGGUUGAGUGGCAGAACAUCUAUUUUGCACGCAGAAGGUACCAGGUUUAAUCCCUGGCAUCUCCA